GCUCUGCAGCCUUCCUGGGCCCCCCAGCAAGCCCAACCCUGCCUGGCUCCGGAUCUGUCAUGCCUGGAUGGGUUUAAAGAACCGCGACCCAUUCUAAUGGAACAGGAAGCAGAAACUUCAUCGCCAGUUGCAAGUCUAAAAAUCAGCUGUAGGCUGAAGACUCCCAAACAGGUAUCUCCAGCAUCCUCCCUGAAAUCCUAGCGCACAUCUGUCUGUCUUCUUGACAAUCUCGCAGGGAUGUUCAAUAGGCAUCUCCAAAUGAAUAAUCACCCAAAACUGAACGCCAGCAUUUUCUUCCCAACCCUGCUCUUGUGUCUUCUCCGUCACCGGAAUUUCCCAGCGUGAUGUGAUGCAGGGGGACCCCAUGGAGAACUCUGACACCUCACAGGAGCGUGAUGAAACCAUGAGAUAAAAGGAGCUUGGAUCCCCGAAUGACUGUGUGGAGAAGAGCCUCGCCUGCUGUCUCUCCAACCAGUAUUUAAUUGUAAUGUGAGUGAGAAAUAAACCUGCUUGUAUUGAGGUAUGAUGUAAGUCACUGAGACUUAGGGGUAUUACAGCAGUUAGCCUACCCCUGAUAAAUGCAGCUGGAUGCAUUGUUCUUUCCUCCUCACCCCCGUUCUCUCAUAGAUUUCUUAACCUCCCACCAUAGCACUUAGCAGAUUGAAUAGCAACAGCCUCUCACCUGGCUGUCUCUUCACCUGACCAUGAGCUGUGGGAAGGGACGGACCAUGCCUGUCUCGUCCUCUGUGUGAGCUGCCAUUCAGUUCAGCACCUGGCUUGUUGCAGCCACUAAGUCAA